rnacentral:rRNA from 1 species
GACGUAGGGCGCGAGCGUUUGUCCGGAUUUAUUGGGCGUAAAGAGCUCGUAGGCGGCUUGUCGCGUCGAAUGUGAAAACCCACGGCUCAACUGUGGGCUUGCAUUCGAUACGGGCAGGCGUAGAGUUCGGUAGGGGAGACUGGAAUUCCUGGUGUAGCGGUGAAAUGCGCAGAUAUCAGGAGGAACACCGGUGGCGAAGGCGGGUCUCUGGGCCGAUACUGAC